rnacentral:rRNA from 1 species
UACGGGGGGGGCAAGCGUUGUUCGGAAUUACUGGGCGUAAAGGGCUCGUAGGCGGCCAACUAAGUCAGACGUGAAAUCCCUCAGCUUAACUGGGGAACUGCGUCCGAUACUGGAUGGCUUGGAUUUGGGAGAGGGAUGCGGAAUUCCAGGUGUAGCGGUGAAAUGCGUAGAUAUCGGAAGGAACACCAGUGGCGAAAGCGGCUUCCUGGUCCAGCACCGACGUUCAGGCACGAAAGCGUGGGGAGCAAACAGG